rnacentral:rRNA from 1 species
AACGAACGCUGGCGGCAUGCCUAACACAUGCAAGUCGAACGAAGGCUUCGGCCUCAGUGGCGCACGGGUGCGUAACGCGUGGGAAUCUGCCCCUCGGUUCGGAAUAACACAGAGAAAUUUGUGCUAAUACCGGAUGAUGACGAAAGUCCAAAGAUUUAUCGCCGAGGGAUGAGCCCGCGUAGGAUUAGCUAGUUGGUGAGGUAAAGGCUCACCAAGGCGACGAUCCUUAGCUGGUCUGAGAGGAUGAUCAGCCACACUGGGACUGAGACACGGCCCAGACUCCUACGGGAGGCAGCAGUGGGGAAUAUUGGACAAUGGGCGAAAGCCUGAUCCAGCAAUGCCGCGUGAGUGAUGAAGGCCUUAGGGUUGUAAAGCUCUUUUACCAGGGAUGAUAAUGACAGUACCUGGAGCAUAAGCUCCGGCUAACUCCGUGCCAGCCGCCGCCGUAA